AUACAAAUUUUAAUUUCAAAAAAAAAAAAAAAAAUUGUAAAAUUAAAUUCGAAACUGAAGUGAAUUAAAAUUGUAGAUUAUUUCUGUGUACUAUGUACACACACACCCUUCCCGAAAACAGCAGUCACAAUGAGUUCAAGCAAAUAAUAAACUAGUGCAAUCUCCCGUUGUGCAAAAUUUUUGUGGUUUGUGGGAGAAUAGCUGUGAUUUAGGUGGGAAGGAGAAAAGAGGCUGUGACGUCGACCAACACCAGUUGAUUUGACCGCACUUGGCGCCAAUCAAAAAUCACAACAGCAAAGCAUACGCAAACAUAGAAAGAAAAUAAUGAAAACUCAAAAAGUGGUUCGUAUUGAGCGUGAAAAGUGAAAGU